GCAGGGGUUGCCAAGCUUGGUCAACGGCGCUGGGUUUAGGUCCCAGUCCUAAUGGUUCGCAGGUUCAAAUCCUGCCCCCUGCA
rnacentral:tRNA from 1 species